rnacentral:rRNA from 1 species
AUACGGAGGAUGCGAGCGUUAUCCGGAUUUAUUGGGUUUAAAGGGUGCGUAGGCUGUGCGUUAAGUCAGGGGUGAAAUGCCGUCGCUCAACGACGGAGCUGCCCUUGAUACUGGCGUGCUGGAGUACGGAUGCCGUUGGAGGAAUGAGUGGUGUAGCGGUGAAAUGCUUAGAUAUCACUCAGAACACCGAUUGCGAAGGCAUCUGACGAAUCCGUCACUGACGCUGAGGCACGAAAGCGUGGGGAUAGAACAGGAUUAGAUACCCUGGUAUUCCACGCCGUAAACGAUGAUGACUAACCGUCGGCGAUAGACAGCCGGUGGCCAAGCGAAAGCGAUAAGUCAUCCACCUGGGGAGUACGUCGGCAACGAUGAAACUUAAAGGAAUUGACGGGG